UACGUAGGUGACCAGCGUUGUCCAGAUUUACUGGGCGUAAAGAGCGCGCAGGCGGUCGUUCAAGUCGAGUGUGAAAGCCCCCGGCUCAACUGGGGAGGGUCAUUCGAUACUGAUCGACUGGAAGGCAGGAGAGGGAAGCGGAAUUCCCGGUGUAGUGGUGAAAUGCGUAGAUAUCGGGAGGAACACCAGUGGCGAAGGCGGCUUCCUGGCCUGGUCUCGACGCUGAGGCGCGAAAGCUAGGGGAGCAAACGGG
rnacentral:rRNA from 1 species